AGUUGAAGCUCUUGAAGGAAAAAUACCUUGUAAUGAAUUAUGGAUUGCGGAAGAUAUUAACUACAUAUCCGGAAAGCCAUAUAAUCCGGAAAUGAUGAAGCGUCCUUCGUUGCUAAAGAAAUUUGAUUUUGGUGAUCUAGCAACGGCGGCUGGAAGUUUCACUCGAACCCAGCUUCUUCGACAGCAUGAUUUGUGUCCAGUCUAUGAGGGAGUGCUUCCAAAUAGUGAUCAAAGGGUGGCAAUUAAGAGACUUGGAUACAAGCUCUCUCAACAGAAAAAAGAUGAAUUCAAGAAGGAGAUUAUGGCCAUUAGCAAUGUUUAUCAUCGAAAUAUUGUUAAUCUAAUUGGAUACUGCAGUGACGAUGAUGACAAUAGACUGCUUGUUUUUGAGUUCGUUCCCAACAAUUCCUUGAAAUUUCAUUUACAUGGUGAGACAAUCCCACAAACAUCCUUCUACUUAUUAUUAUAUUUCUUGCUUGCCUUUCUAAUUUGAAACUUCUAAAAUGUUAUUAUCAAAAUUUUAUGGUGGUCUAAAAGAUAUUAAUAGUACUGCAGAAAAUCGGAGUUCCACAAUAAACUGGUCAAAUAGAAUGAAAAUCGCCAUAGGCUCAGCGAAAGGAUUAAAAUAUAUGCAUGAAGACAGUGAGUAUACCUUAUAUGGAAGCUUAUAUCUUGUUUACUAAGCCUUAAUUUAUUCCUCAUUUAUUUUAUUUUACUUUUUUUUUUUUUAGGUAUUGAUUCGAUUUCAAAAUUAAAAUGCUGGUAUUGAUUUCCCUUCCUUUUUUGAUGUAUUUAUUUGCAGGUGGACACAAAAUUUUACAUUUGUAUGUUAAGUCAGAUAAUAUUCUUCUUAAUGAUAAAUUUAUACCAAAGGUAGGCAAUAUUAUUGAUUAAACGUUUUCAAAGUGAUCCUUUUUCAUAUAUUUAGGCAUGUAGUUUUUUGGUGUAUAAUAUGGGGAUUCGAAACCUGAACCUCUUAGGUUGUUAUAAGGGUACCAUGGCCGUCUGAAUUUGCUAAAUUUUAUUUUGUAAUCGUCUUUAGUUUUAUUGAUGAUUUUCUUCUUUUGAAGGACUGAAAUUUUCGCAACUUAUAACUAUAUUGUAGUAGUUAGAUGUCUAAAAUUGUGUGAUCAAUUAUAAAUCAGAAUAUUAAACUAAAGAAGUAACUUUAUUCUGUUUGUUUGUGAUACUAAACUACAAAACGCAAUAAAUCUAAGUGGAACAUUUGUGUUUAGCUUGCAGAGUUUGGAAGUGCCA
rnacentral:misc_RNA from 1 species